UGGCAAGGAAAGGUGUGAGUGUGCGCAAGUGUGUGUGCCUGCGGGUGGACGCGAGGGGGGCGGGUUUCUGGAAAGGGCGUGGAAGUGGGGGAGCCCCGGGUCCUCGUGACUCGGCUCAUCCAGGACCGCCCCCGCCCCCCAGCUUCGGGUCGGGCGGGUUCGUGGGGUACAGGGACCCAGCGGCCGGGCGGAGUUAACCCUUAGUUCCCACACAGGUUUAGGGAUGGGGAGCUGGGGUGCGGGGGACGACGACCGGGGACCGCCGGAGCCGCUCCCGGAAGGCAAGUGUGAGUUUGUUUCGGGUUGAGGGGGAUAUUUAAGUGGGAUUUGCAGUGGCGGCGGGAGACGGGGCUGGAAACGACCACCGGAGGCAUCCACUGGGCGCCGGGUUAGGGGUCCUGACCGCCGCCGCCUGUCCCCGUUGUGGAGCCGCUCCGCCCCCUCGCGGCGGGCAGGGGUCACUGACCCCUUCGCGACACCCGCCCGCCGACUGUGCGUGGGCUGAAGGUGAGUAUGCGGACGGUAGUGCCUUGGAGGAGCCUGCGUGGGACGAGUGGUGGUACUGAGUGAUCUGACCGAGGACCGCAGCGCAGAGAUGGAUAAACUGCUAAGAGGCCCAGUUGAUGAGUUUGGACAUACAUACUACAUCUGUGAAGCAUCACCACCACAUCAAGGAAGGAGUGGGGAAUAAAGCCACAGAUUCAAGAAGUUCAACAAAUCUCAAGAUUAAGAACGUCUACAUUUGGGGGUGCCUGGGUGGCUCAGAGGUUGAGCAUCUGCCUUCAGCUCAAGGUAUGAUCCCAGAUUCAGAGAUUGAGUCCCGCAUCCAACUCCCUGUAAGGAGCCUGCCUUUCCCUCUGCCUGUCUCUCUAUCUUUGUGUCUCUCAUAAAUAAAUAAAUAAAAUAUCUUUUAAAAAGGACGUCCACAUUUGAACCCACCAGGGUGAAAUAGCAGGAAAUUAAAUCAAAGGCAAAAUCUUUAACAUAGGGAUGCGUGGGUGGCUCAGCCUCUGCCUUUGACUCAGGUCAUGACCCUGGGGUCCUGGAAUUGAGUCCCACAUCCGACUCCUGUUCCGUCUCUGCCUCUCUCUCUCUCUCUCUCUCUCUCAUGAAUAAAUAAAAAAUAAAAUCUUUAAAAAAUAUUUAAAAUAGAAAAAAAGAUGACUGAUUACCUUCAAAGGA